ACUCCUACGGGAGGCAGCAGUGGGGAAUAUUGCACAAUGGGCGCAAGCCUGAUGCAGCCAUGCCGCGUGCGUGAAGAAGGCCUUAGGGUUGUAAAGCGCUUUCACUGGUGAAGAUGAUGACGGUAGCCAGAGAAGAAGCCCCGGCUAACUCGUGCCAGCAGCCGCGGUAAUACGGAGGGGCAAGCGUUGUUCGGAAUUAGCUGGGCGUAAAGGGCGCGU
rnacentral:rRNA from 1 species